rnacentral:sRNA from 1 species
AGCCCCGCGCUCCGGAAGUGAAGCGGCCAGACCACCAGCUAAUGGAUGCGGAGCGGAGGGCCCGCUGACCGCUCUCCGCGCCUGGCUUGGCUUGGCUGGAGCUAAGAGCCAGACACACCACUGUGUGGAGGUGGGUGAUGUCUUCCUGUGCUAAAAGGUGAAUAAAUAAGCUCCUCACCUCUCGCGGAACACUCAGGAACACAUCAACAGGGGUCCAAGCCGCCCUGCUGGGAGGCUUCUCUUCAAGAGUUCUGGGUGCCAGAGUGGAAGGCAUUUUCCCAUCAACUGGAGAGAGACGAAACAUCAGAGACCAGGAGGCUGUGGAGAAAGCAGCUGUCCCAGGUGCCUCAACUAUCAGAGGAGGGUCAGCGUCACGUGGCUGCCAGCAUCUUUGAGAAAAUCACUGGCAAUCGGACUUCAGAGCUGCGGGCACAGGUGUGGUUAGAACUGAGAUACGACCUGCCCACCUGGGUCAGGCCUAAAGACAAGAAGUCCUGAGUUCUUGCCACUGAGUAGGCCAGGGUCAUUUGUCCAGAAAACUUUGUGACUGUCUUUGAGUGACCUAGUCUGGGACCCAUUCAUUGGUGGGUUCUAA